rnacentral:tRNA from 1 species
CCCUUGGUAGCUCAGUUGGAAGAGCGUGAGACUGUAAAUCUCAAGGUCACUGGUUCGAAACCUGUCCGAGGGA